CUUCACUUUCCAUCAUAAUUGUAAGCUUCCUAAGGUUCUUACCAGAAGCAGAUGCUGGUGCCAUGCUUCUUGUACAGCCUACAGAACUGUGAGAUAAACAAACUGCUUUUCUUUAUGAAUUACCUAACCUCGGGUAUUCCUUUAUAGCAAUGCAAAAUAGACUAAGACACUAACUGACUUUUAAAAUCUUUUAUAUAUGGGGCACAAGGGAUGGUUGACUUUUGUGUGUAGAUGGUCUGCUGAGAAGCUGAGAUCCUAGAGAAUUUGGCAGGAAAGAAAUAUGGGUUGUACUUUAUUUGUGGCUGGCAAAAUUUUAUUUAGCUGCCUUUGAGAUGCCUCUGGAUCUUGUGAGGACUGCUUUGCACCUCUUUGGAGAUGUCUCACGCAUUCUUAUUUAAGUCAUAACCUUAGUUAAGGGGUUUUGGUUUUGGUGAGUUAUUUGAAAGAUAACUUCGGGGGGGAAGUUUGAAAGCCAAAAAUAUUGGCUGUUUGUCCCAGCUAAAAUUUCAUCAUGAGAGAUUUAAAAUUUUUUUUUUUUUUUUAAAAAAAGCUCUAUGGUCAGAAGUCAGCUUAAUUAAAAGCUGAUAUUCAGACUAUAAUACUUUUUUAAAAAAUAAAAGUUCCUUCUACUUUUUCUCUUUUGGAUUCUGCUAGUGGGAUUUACUUUUCAGUCAACUGAAACCCCCUUUUAAUUAUGUGAUUGGUUAUUCUGUUUCCUUUUUAUCUUUUUCACAUGAUUUUUGCUAAGAAAAAUGUAAAUCUUCAUUGGCCCUUCUGGAAAGCUUAAAAUAUCCAAAUUGGUACAUCUAAGACUUGUUAUUUCAUUUUCUUUCACUUCUACUCCUCCUUCUUUUUUGCCAUCUUCAAUUCCACAUAAAGAAAUCUAGACAGGACUUCUAGCAGCUCUAAGACCCCUUAAGGAACACAGAAAAAGUGCCACACACCCCCUUUUCGGGGUCAUAUAUUUUUCUCAUGGAUCCCCAAGAGUUGUGGACAGGUUCCUCUCAGUUCUAAGGCUCUGCUGUUUUGCAUUAAAUUCCGUGAUCUCUCUAACUUCUGGGGGUACCAGGAAUUACUUCGUACUGUGAGAGAAAACUUAAUCUUUGUGUGUGUGAUAGCUAGUGGGUCACCAGCAAAGGCUGCAAUUCUGGGGGGUGGCUGAGAGCAGUUACAAUGGAUGGUUAUUACUGUAUGGGGCUAUUCAUUUGUUUGUGCAUUUAGAUCAGAAAAGUGAGGUUUGGAAACUUGGAGGCUAUGGCUACAUCACAUCAUCAAGGGAUAAGACUCCCAUGGGGGAUGAACUGAUCACAGAGUGGGCUGAUUGACAUUGGGUUACCUUUGCCGUGAGGUGCCGUGAGGUACCCUGUGGAAGUGUUGCACAGCUUGGUCCUGUGGCAUUUCCUUUUUUUUUUUAAGGUCCCAGGAUUCACUGUAAAAAAUGAGGUUCUUGAUUUCUGAGGAUCUAGACGAUUUGCCUUCCUACUGCUUCUGCUUUUCACUAUAUAAGUGAAAAGACCUCAAAAGCUGCAAAUGUUUUGUUUGCGCUAUUCAUUAAUGGGCUCUACCCUGAGGUCAGUGGUCCAGUUUUAAAAUGGAGACUAAAUUAAAAGCCACCUAUCUAACUAAAAUUGGUCUCCUUAUAAAAUCCUCUGGUGAUUCUCAAUGAUUUUGUGUUACCUUAGUAUUCAUUUUAAUUUUCCUCUAACAUACCCAAAUUCUUUCUUCAAAAAGCUUAAAUUCUCUCUUUGUGCAUUGAGAUGUAAAUUUGCAACCCUGGUUUCUCUAAAACUCAAUAAGCACUUCAACCAUGCGGGACAAAUAAACUUUAUUUAAAAAUAUUUUUUAUUUUUUAUUCUUUUAGAGACAGGGUCUCACUCUGUCACCCAGGCUGGAGUGCAAUGUUAUGAUCCUAGCUCAGGGUCACCUCAAAUUCCUGGGCUGAAACUAUCCUCCCACCUCAGCUUCCCAAGUAGCUGGGACUCCAGGCACACACCGCCAUGCCUAACUAAUUUCUUUAUUUUUUAUGUUUUAGUAUAGACGGGGUCUUGCCUUGUUGCCCAGGCUAGUAUUGAACUCCUGGCUUCAAGUGAACCCCCUCCUGCGUGAGGCAUUGCACCCAGCCCAGACAAUCUUUAACUUGUUUCAUUUACAGAGGCACAAAUUAAUCUAACUGUCCUUUUAAACUAGUGAGUUUUAUCUGUCUCAUGACUAAAAUUUUAAAAUAAAAGCAAAUAUAGUUUACAUAUUUUCCCUACCCAAAUCUUAUGUUGAAUUGUAAUCCCGAAUGUUGGAAUUGGGGCCUGCUGGGUGGUGUUCGGGUCAUGGGGGUAGAUCUCUCAUGGCUUGAUGCUGUCCUCAGGAUAGUGACUGAGUUUUCCUGUAAUCUAGUUGGUUAAAGUGUGUGGCACCUCCCCCACUCUCUCUCUUGCUCCUGCUUUGCCAUGUGAAAUGCCUGCUCCCAUUUUGCUCUCUGCCAUGAGUAAAAGCUUCCUGAGGCCUCACGAGAGGCUGAGCAGAUGCCAGCACUAUGCUUCCUGUACAGCCUGCAGAAUCAUGAGCCAAUGAAAUCUCUUUUCUUUAUAAAUUACCCAGUCUCAAGUAUUUCGUUAUAAAACAGCCUAGCAAAAAAGCUAUAAAAUCUUUAUUUGUGUUUGUAUAUUAUGUAUAAAUGUGUAUAUGUCUGUGUUUGUAUAUUGUCUACAUGGUACUGAGUUGACUUAUAAAUAAAUGAGUACUCAUAAAUUAAAUAAUCUCAAAAUUUUUAAAUUCAUAUGACUUUAGUAACCUUUGAUAUAAAAAGCAGAUUUUUAAAUUGUUGGUAAAAUAAAAUAGAAAUGUCUUCAGAGUUUUAGACUUCUUUAUCUUAAUCUACUGGUCAAACAAAUGUAUGUUGUUUCUGCUAAAUGUUUUAAGGUCAAAAAACUUGUUUCUGUGAUAUUUUUGAUAAUUGCUUGAUUUGUCUUUAAGCAUAUGUCUUUGGUUUUGAGCCUUUAGAUUCCAGAGUCUAGACAGGUGGUCAUGGUGAGGCUUCCACAGCACCUAGACCACCAGCUGCAGGGUAGAGUCAAGCCCGAUACAUCCUCCCUGGCCCAGCUCUGCCUCCUGGCCAUGCUGGAAGGGGAUAGAUCCUCCAUUAACUGUCUUCGCAGCUCUGUCAUUUGUCCUGGGCUUUGCAUUUGAUACAUAACAAUUAAAAUUGCUUUACUUCCUAGCUUUCUCACUCGAAAUUGGGGUUACUAGAGUUAAAAUUGUAGAUAAUAUAUGUAAUUAAAACUACUAGAUAUAAGAGAAAUAAUUCUAUAUAAAGAGUGUACAAAGAAUGUAGGAUGUGUUUUGGGUGAGGAAGGUUAUAAGAAAAACAUGAAGCCAUAUGCUGUGGCUCAUGCCUGUAAUCCCAGCACUUUGGGAGGCUGAGGCAGGAGGACUGCUUGAGCCCAGGAGUUCACGACUAGCCUGGGCAACAUAGGGAGACCCCAUUUCUACACACACACAACUUGAGAAUGUGGUUUUUGUUAAAGGAAAAGUAUUUUUUUUCUAGUUUAGAGGUUAUUUGAAGGCUCCUUUAAGUUGAAAGGAUAAAAAAGAAUGACAGGAAAAACUGAAUGGAUAUAAAAAAUUGGGGAAAGAAAGAGAAUUGAAAAAAUUGUGAGAGAUUAUAAAAUGUUCAUGCAAAUCUUUUCUGUAGUCAAAGCUGAUUGAGAUUAGAUGGAUUUGUUUAUAUUUUAUUAAAUUAACUUUAGUGUUAAUAAUACACUGAUGAAAAGUACAAUUUGGUUUUCUCUUUUGAACAAGAUUUUCAUGUAGUACUAAUAAGAAAUGGUAAAAUAUUUGUUCACCUUUUCAGUAAAAAAGGAAGAAGACUUUGCCUCAUGCUGUCUUUAUUAGGUCUUUUGAUUGUUUGGAAAACUUGAUCUCCUCUCUAUCAAAUAGUAAAGGGUUUUUUUUCACUUUUUGAAAUCUUUUAAUUAUCAUUUUGACUAAAUGAAUGACUAAUAUUUUAUAGUGACUUGUGAUCUUAUUUUGAUAUCAAGUGUUUUAAACCUUUAAUAUUUGACAAACAUCCCAAAAUCAAAUUUCAAAUUCUAAAUUAAGUGUUUUUUAAGCUUGAACUAAAUAUUUGGACAUUCCAAAAAGAGCCCCUGGAAGUCCAAGAGAGACAUAUUAGGCUUAUUUGGUAUGUUAAAAUUAUAUGGGAAGCAUUGUCAAAUAAAAAGUGAUGUCUAACUUUCUUUGAGUUAUAUUCAUAUGGAUAUGUUAUUAAUGUAUUCCAAAAUUGUAUGAGAUUCCUAAAAUAUUAUAUAUCUUGGUAUAUUCAGUAAAUUGCUUAAUUCUGAUGCUCUUUUUCUAAAAGCUCUCUGUUCAUUCUAAAGUGAUGUGUCUUCAAGGAAGUUCAUGGGAAAGACUGAUAGGUAAUCUGAAAUACAGUCCUCUGCUUAUGACUUUGAGAUUACACAAUUGGACUGGGGGGUAGAAAGUUAAAAAGAAAACUCUAAUGAAAAAUUAGACAUAAAAUUGGAAAAUUGCUAACCUAACAUCAAGUAGAACAAGAACAUGAGACUAAAGUGAUGAAGGGCUGAAAUGAUUUUUCAUGACUUUUUGCUUAAACAUGGAUGAUUCUUUUUCUGUUUUGUUUUCUAGAAUCAAGAAACCUUUUUCCCUCUGAAGCUAUUCAUAGCUUAGAGUAAUUGGGUGAAAUAUAGUUUUGUAAGAAAAUGGAAACAUUUACCUCAUAGGAAUGUUUUCUUCUUUAACAGGACACAAUUGAAAACACUGGUUAUAUUACAAAAGCUUUGACUGGUAAUUUUGUGUCAUAUUUUCAAAUGUGACCAGGCUGCUUUGAGGAAUUGCAGUUUACUUUAAAGCCAACAGACUUGGAAAAAGACUGGCCGGGUACCAUAUCUACACUGUUCCCUUACAGGGUUCCUGACCUUGUGGUAAGUAAAAGUUGUCACUUUCUGACAGAAUAAGCUACCUCAGAUAUUUUGGGGACCUCAAGAAGAGAGAAAUUCACACAGGUAUUACAAGCCCAGUCUGAAGAUGAAUCCUUCGCUUAGUGUCCUAGCCUCAAGAGGCUUUUAAAAGUCUAUUCUGGGAUUUCUUAUUUAAAAGUUCCAGCAAGGCCAACUAAAAAAUAGCCUAUAUGGCCGAUCACUACUCUUACUGCAAACAAUCAGGCAAAGUAUACUAAGACUAAAAGUUAUUUUGCAAAUAAAUUGGUCCUCCUAUGUUUCAGCUUUGGUAGAAAUGGGAGACUAAAGAGAGAUACAUUAUUUUUCAGAAGAAAACUAUAGUACACGUUAUUAGAUUCUAGCCUUGUCCUUUGUUUGUGAGUUUUUAUUAUUUGAUUACAACAAUUUGGACUGAAUCCUGAAUUCUUUCCUAGCUACAAAUCUCCAAACUAACAUUUUCAUAUCUUUCCAUUUUUCUGACUUGGACUCAGUGAAAUUGCAGCUUGCUCCUGAGGCCCUGCAAGCUGAAGUUCACAUGUAAACAACCUUGUGAUACACAAACUACAGACCAGAAAAAUGUGACAGAUUGCCACUGCCUACUUCCACUUUAACUGAAGAUGGUUUGAGUCUAACAUCUAGCACUUCAACUGAUUGCCCCCCAAACUCUAAAGAAACUGGUUUAAAAAGUGUUCCAAACCGGUGAAACCCCGUCUCUACUAAAAAUACAAAAAAUUAGCCGGACGUGGUGGUGGGCGCCUAAAAAAAAAAAAAAAAGUGUUCCAAACAUCUGGGAGGCUGAGGCGGGCGGAUCACGAGGUCAGGAGAUUUGAGACCAUCCUUGCUAAUCGCUGAAACCCCGUCCCUACUAAAAAUACAAAAAAUUAGCUGGGCGUGGCCGGGCGCAGUGGCUCACGCCUGUAAUCCCAGCACUUUGGGAGGCUGAGGCGGGAGGAUCACGAGGUCAGGAGAUCGAGACCGUUCUGGCUAACACGGUGAAACCCCGUCUCUACUAAAAAUGCAAAAAAUUAGCCGGGCGUGGUUGCAGGCGCCUGUAGUCCCAGCUACUAGGGAGGCUGAGGCGGGAG
rnacentral:lncRNA from 10 species